rnacentral:rRNA from 1 species
ACAUGCCUACAAAUUAGCAUUUAUGCACCAGAUCCCAUUAUAACUCCAUAGUUAAGCAUGCUCAGGAAAGAGUACUAUUGGGAUAGGUGACUACCCAGGAAGUCCUAGUAUUUUACAUGCC